UUUGCCUACGGGGCGCAGCAGUGAGGAAUAUUGGUCAAUGGCCGAGAGGCUGAACCAGCCAAGUCGCGUGAGGGAAGACGGCCCUACGGGUUGUAAACCUCUUUUGUCGGGGAGCAAAGCGAGUCACGUGUGACUCAUUGAGAGUACCCGAAGAAAAAGCAUCGGCUAACUCCGCGCCAGCAGCCGCGGUAAUACGGAGGAUGCGAGCGUUAUCCGGAUUCAUUGGGCGUAAAGCGCGCGUAGGCGGUCAUGUAAGCGGGACCUCUAAUCUUGGGGCUCAACCUCAAGCC
rnacentral:rRNA from 1 species